CCGAACGUCCCAUCGCAUAAGAAGUCUUCAAAGUCAAAUUGUGGAGUUCACGCCCAUACUCCAUCCCACUCUCAUCUUCUUUUUCUCUUGAGGAAAUUCACGAAUAAGUCCUUGGUUGCAACGAUUCUGCUGCUAUUGCUUCAACGACGAAUUACCAUCGGAGAUUUUCCACCGUCGGGGCAUCUUUGCAGCAACCUUGCAGGUUCAAAUCAGGUCGUUGUCGCAACUAAGACGCUGUCAUCCGUGCCGGAUCCACCACCACGAUUUGAUCUAGAGCCAAGAGCCACGAACCACCAUCUUUGCACCGUGGAUUGUUGACGAUCAUCGUUGUUGCUCCUCCGUGACUAAGUCGCUAUCUCAUGGCGUCCCCGUUGUCCUGAGCCACGAAGUCCGACGUUGCCGUGUUGCCCGUGGAGCCCUGACGUAAGCAUCUCCUAUGAGGUGCGAAGACCACCACAGCCGC
rnacentral:lncRNA from 1 species